AAGACAUGGAGAAGCCACAGUACACGGGUUGUGUAAUAGACCCCUUGUAUCUCACAUACUCCUGUGUAAUCUUCUAGAAGCUAAAACCUGGAGAGGCAAGGAGAGAUGAUAGUACACAAACCCUGCAAAUUGCCCUGUGUAAACUCCCUACCCCUGUGUAACUUGUUGUCUUUUUUAUGAACGAAGCCUGAAAUUAGUCCAAAAAAUUACGCGACCCAGGGUCGUGUAGUACCAAACGAGCUGUGUACUUUGUAGCAGAAAGACUUCUAUUUUGACUCCAAUUCCUUUCCACUCGUUCCGAAAAAAAAUUCUAAGGAUCUUGGGACUCUGAAAUGUGACUCUGAGGCACCUGAUAUAA
rnacentral:misc_RNA from 1 species